AACGCACAUUGCGCCCUUUGGUAUUCCUUAGGGCAUGCCUGUUCGAGCGUCAUCUACACCCUCAAGCACAGCUUGGUGUUGGGUGCCUGUCCCGCCCCGCGCGUGGACUCACCUCAAAUCCAUUGGCGGCCCCGCGUCGGCUCCGAGCGCAGCAGAAACGCGAACUCGUGCCCGGCGCGGUGGCUCCCAGAAGCUACACCCACCAUUUUGACCUCGGAUCAGGUAGGGAUACCCGCUGAACUUAA
rnacentral:misc_RNA from 1 species